CCCGUCCGCCCCCCCGCCUGCCUGCCCGCCGGGCCUUCUUCCCGGGACGGCAUCAGGAGAGUGGGAUUCUGCAUCUUUGGUAUUCUUCUCACGCAACCUUCAACUCGGACGCCCGAGUGACUUUGCUCCGCCGCAGUGGGGAACGACUCUCUUCCUGCGAUGAAGAGUUGUACCCAGUAAUCUGAAUUCCUGUAGCCUUUUUCUGAGGGUGGAAUUGAGAGAACCAGAUGAAUAACUAAAUUAACUCAAGGCAUCUUCUGUAUCUGCUCAGCAUCUUCUGUAUCUACCAAAGGAAAGCAGAUGAGGCAUGUUAUCAGAAUUCCAAGAUUGCCUGUCAAGCUGUAAAAUUUUGGGGAGGUACAAGAGAACGAUUUAAAGAGCAUGGAGCUGAAAAAGGGAGAAUGAGUUUCACUUAUAUCCACAAAAAAAGGUCACAAUCAACAUUCAUUGCUGUCGGUGGGUUUAACUUUGUGGACAAGCUCACUGAACAAUGAAUGCAACUGUGGCCCCACAUUUUACAAUCACAGCCAAGAAGAAUAUUGCCUUUGAAAGCAGCACCUGAAGUGGAUAUCUUUGACUGAAAACUUUGGAUCAAGAGACUGAAUUACUUUCCAGCUGUCUGUUUAAAAUAUGUUUGGGUUUUUUGUUAAUUUGUUUUGUUUUUGUUGUUUGCAUGAUAGAGUUAGGUAGUCAGGAAAUGCAAAAUGCUAUCUACAGCAUCUCAUUAUGAUAUGACACAAAAGCAUGUUCUUUUUCUCUAUCAUUUGUUACCUGGAUUAGAAGUUCUCCAAACAGGAAAAAGAAGCAAAUCAUGUGCAUGAAACGUGUUGUAGGGGGCAUAUCUAAACAUUACUUCAACAGUUAUCCACAUACUGCGGAACACAAUUUCCUUACUUUGCUGAUUAGUCAAACUUACGUCUUUGAAGGCCAAAUAAGGCAAAUGCUGAAAAACAUUAGAAACAAGCUUAUAUCUUCUAAGAAAAAUUGCCUGAGAAUUGUUGAUCUAACAAAAAAUACAGACUAAGAAAGUACCUAGUAUUUAAUCCAACUAUCUUGAAGACAACUCUCUGCAGAGUGCUGUAGAGAGGAGGGCUAUUGCUCUCUCACACACUCAACCAGGACAGAAUAGACCCAUGGUCAUAAGGGCCUUGUGGUGGGAGGAAUUUGUUUCCUCCUACUUAAUUAAGUCAAUUUCAAGUCCUUAGUUGACUAGGAGUCUUUUGCAAUUAUAAGUCUGGGAAAGGCGCUCAGAAAUGUUGCACCUUUACAGCUCCAGAUACAUCUGAAUGAUACUGAUUUUCAGAAGCUUAUUUCAAGUAGGAUGUUAGCCAGUAUAUAGUACUGAGACUGGCUUGAAUAUCUUGGUGAAUUAAGAUGAUGGAAUCUAGUAUCUUUGGCAUGCAUGGUGAGUGUUCAGCCUUGAGAUACAGCCUUUCCAUUGGGAUACAUGUGCACAAAUGAGUUCUGAAAAAACACAAAGAGAGAAGUUUAGAAUCCCCAUAUUCUACUAUAACAAAAGAUUAUUUAAAUUUUGUUAUAUACUUACAUCCCUUUUGCAAUUCACAGAUUAACUUACAUAUAAUAUACAUCAAGAGUCUGCAUUUGCAUGUUAUUUCUGAUUUCUGUUGAAUAUUUUGUUUCAAUAAUUUAGAAGCUUAAUUUUCUAACAGCAAGAUUCCUUUUCAUAAUUGACAACAAUAUCCACUUGCCAAAAUAUUUUUUCUAAAAAAAUCAUGAGAUCUUUUUGUUCUUGUAAGAUUCAGGGCAGUACUUUCCAAGUGAAUAUAACAAAUUAUUGCAGAAAGCACACUUGAGAUAGUUAAUUUCAGAACACAGCACAUAUGAUUAUAAUUACCAUAAAAAUAACCUAAUGUACACUGAUGCAGUUGCAACUAUUUUUAAUUAUCUCUUUUUUAUCAUAAUAAAGGAAUCAAAGGCAGACAUUGAGACAUCUUAAGAAAUAUUUGCAUAGUUAAGUGGAUGUUAAAACAAAUAUUGAUAUUUGGCAGUAGUUAAAAUUCUGGAAGGACAAUUCUAGGUGUAAUGAUUGUUACGAAUGAAAAGGUGUGUAUUCAUUCCUUAUUCUGUCAUUUUAUUUGGCUGACUAAAUAUUUAAAAUAUAUCAUUUCAGUGAUUUAUAUCUUAAGCUGCACUGUAUUUCCUGCAAUACAUGAAAACCUUAAAUAAAAUACUCAUUAUUGUAGA